rnacentral:rRNA from 1 species
UGAGUAACACGUGGGUAACCUACCUAUAAGACUGGGAUAACUCCGGGAAACCGGGGCUAAUACCGGAUAACACAUGAAACCGCAUGGUUUCAUGAUGAAAGACGGUUUUGCUGUCACUUAUAGAUGGACCCGCGGCGUAUUAGCUAGUUGGUAAGGUAACGGCUUACCAAGGCAACGAUACGUAGCCGACCUGAGAGGGUGAUCGGCCACACUGGAACUGAGACACGGUCCAGACUCCUACGGGGAGGCAGCAGCC